UGCCGCUGAUCUGUUGACAGAAGAGAGAAAGCACACUGCCUAGAGAUGAAACUGGUAAAUACUGUAGAGAAAGCGUCCUGGGGGAGGAGGCAAGGUGAAAGGCUGCUCUCCUGCCCUACCUGCCCCCCCACUCGCUGCCCCCAACAU
rnacentral:miRNA from 1 species